AAUGAACGUUGGCGGCAUGGAUUAGGCAUGCAAGUCGGGGGAAUCCCAGCAAUGGGGGAACCGGCGUAAGGGGCAGUAAGGCAUGGGUACCUACCUUGGGGUUCGGGAUAGCCAUCAGAGAUGGUGGGUAAUACCGGAUGACGUCGUGAGACCAAAGAUUUAUCGCCCUUAGAGGGGCCCAUGUGAUAUUAGCUAGUUGGUGGGGUAACGGCCCACCAAGGCGAAGAUGUCUAGCGGGUGUGAGAGCACGACCCGCGCCACUCGCACUGAGACACUGGCGAGACACCUACGGGUGGCUGCAGUCGAGGAUAUUCGGCAAUGAGCGCAAGCUUGACCGAGCGAUGCCGCGUGGGCGAUGAAGGCCUUCGGGUUGUAAAGCUCUUUAGUGGGGGAGAAAAGCCGCAAGGUGUGAUCUAUCCCAAAAAUAAGCACGGGCUAAGUUCGUGCCAGCCGCCGCAGUAA
rnacentral:rRNA from 1 species